GUGCACCAGGCGCGAAACUUCACACUGUGCGAAAGCACGAUGAGGGAAUCCCAAGUGCUUGCACGUAAGUGUAAGCUGUUUCUCUGUCUAAAACGCAGAGAGAGUAAGGGCUGGGUAAGACGGGUGCCAGCCGCCGCGGUAAUACCUGCAGCUCAAGUGGUGACCGUUAUUAUUGGGCCUAAAACGUCCGUAGCCGGUUUAAUAGAUGCCUGGGUAAAUUGUGUAGCUUAACUAUACGAAUUCCGGGUAGACUGUUAAACUUGAGACCGGGAGAAGUUAGAGGUACUCCUGGGGUAGAGGUGAAAAUUCUGUAAUCCUAGGGGGACCACCAGUGGCGAAGGCGUCUAACUAGAACGGGUCUGACGGUGAGGGACGAAGCCCUGGGGCGCAAACGGGAUUAGAUACCCGCGUAGU
rnacentral:rRNA from 1 species